GUGUGCCACCAUGUCCCAAAAAUUCACGUCCUUCCGCAAAAGAAAAACAAAGUUUGAUUUUUGAAGGUAUGUAUAUGUAUCUGUAUCCGAAGACUCUGGCAGUUGGAGUAGUUAGAGGAAAUAAACGAUUCCCUGCUAGUAGAAUUCAGACUUCGCGCACUCGCCGAUGUCUCUCGCCUCUCCUCCCUCCGUCACUCCUCCGCCUGCUCAUCUUCCACCUCACCGCCCUCACGCAGCUUGGAGCGCCACGCCGCCCGCGCCGCCGCCACGGAGCGCGCGAGCUGCGGGUCCGGGACGCUCACCACGGAGGACGCGCACCACAUGUUCGGCGAAUUGCCGCGGCAUGACACCUCGCUGUGCUCUCGCCUGCCCGCCGAGGCAAAGGGAUGAGGAGGUCGGCGCACGUUCCUGCUGUACCGGAAGGGGAUUCUUCUCGAUCGGCUGCCAUGCACGGCCUCGCCGCCGCCGCCACGCCAUGGCCAAGUCUCAGCACUCCACCUAUAUAUAUGUCUCUGAGGAUAAAGGCACUUCUUGGCAAGAGAUCAUCUAGAAUAUCCACUCUGCCAAAACCUUCGCCGGAUCUCACUCAACAGGAAUCUGAGCCAACCAUUCAUGGCUGAAACCAUGCAUCUUUCGGAGAAAAAGAGAGGAGUUCCUUGUCGAUCGAUCAACUCAUGUUGUUGUACCAGUGAUUUUUUUGGAGCCACCUGUACGGAUGCAUAAACUUGUUCCAUAUUCGUCAGGUGAGGCCUUGACGACAUUUUGCUGUCGUCGGUCGAGCCAAGCGAGCUGGAGGUCGAGGGAGGCGCUGUCACGCUGGACGACCAAUGAUAACAGCGGUCAGGAAUCCAAGUGCUGAAGCGGCAUCCUUCAUGAGAGGCAUUGUCUGCAUAUUUGUUCUUUAGCGACCCUAGCUGUGAGAAACUGAGAAUGCGGGAUCGGUACCUUUUUCAGAGAGAUUCUGGGGAAGAUUUUUACCAAUCCUUGCUGCUGCUGAUCCUGUUUUGAUACCACCUCAGCUCAUCGUGGCUUUUAUCCUAUCUCACUUGGUUGAAACAAUUUUGUACUGUAAUUACCAGCUGGAGGUUACAGAGUGUUGGUUGAAACGAUAUUUCUGCCUUCUAUAAAGCUGUGGCAUGCUCUUGGCGUGCUCUAAUUUUUUAUUUUUUAACAGCUGGAGGUUCAUGCCAUCCAGUCCGAUGAUCAAAUGGUAUGAGCACUCUGUAUAAAAGGCACAAUAUAAAGUGUUAACAACAUUGUUUAUUUAU